rnacentral:lncRNA from 1 species
CGGUCGAUGAAAUUUUAGGGGCUGUUUGGCUUUGUAUGUGGACUUGAUUUGAUUUGGGCUUGGGUUUAUUUAUGGAAUGGAUUUGGGUUCUUUAUGUGGACUUGGUUUGGUUUGGGUUUAUUUGGGUUUUGGGUUUGGUUUGGGUUUUGGGUUUGGUUUGGGUUCAAGUUUGGGUUUUGGGUUUGGUUUGGGUUCAAGUUUGGGUUUAUUUGUAGACUAGGUUUGGGUUUGGGUUUGGAUUUGAUUUGGGUUUUGGGUUUAUUUGGGUUCGGAUUUUAUUUGGGUUUUGGUUUUGGGCUUUAUUUGUGGACUUGAUUUGGUUUGGGCUUUGGUUUAUUUAUGGAAUGGGUUUGGGUUCUUUAUGUGCACUUGGUUCAGGUUAGGUUUCGGUUUGGAUUUGAUUUGGGUUAGGUUUGGGUUUUGGGUUUGGGUUUAUUUGGGUUUUGGGUUUAGAUUUAUUUGUGGACUGUAUUUGGUUUUGGGUUUAGGUUUGGGUUUGGACUUGAUUUGGGUUAGGUUUAUUUGGGUUUGGGUUUAUUUGGGUUUAUUUGUGGACUGUAUUUGGUUUUGGUUUGGUUUGGGUUCGGAUUUUAUUUCGGGUUCGGGGCAAUCCACUUUUGAUUUUUGCAAUUUGGUUCGGAUUCG